rnacentral:lncRNA from 10 species
GUGAGAAAACUGAUGCUUGGAGAUGUGAUCACUGCCCAGGGUCACCCAAUGAUAACAUGCAUGCAUAUGGAACUUGCUGCAUGCCAGCACCAUGAGGUGUUCAGGGCCCCAAUGGUUUUUCGAAGAAGCCGGGCUAGCAUGGAGUCUCCCCCGACCUUCACCUCCAGUUUAUGACUGCCUGCGGCCAGGAGGACAGGAGUCCGCUCCCCAUGCUGUCCUCACCACAUUGCUCAUUUCUGAGGCCUGGAUGGUGGGCUUGCAAGGGAAGAUGACGGUUUUCUCCUCAGCUUUGCGGAGUGGCAGCAGAGUCCGUUUGCCCUGGAAAACAAAUGUCCACACAGUUAGGAAGCCCAAGGGCCCUCUGCCCUUUCCUCUCUGCCUUCCUGGAGCAUGAACCCACACAGGGCACACAGCAGCAAGGCAUCCCCGGGCAGUGCCGUGCCCACUCACCAGCUUCUUCCUGCGGUCAUCGAUCUGGCAGAAGUUCUCCUCAUCUAUCCCCAAACAUGGGCUUCCUUGAGGCACAGUCAUUCAACCAACCAGCCAGCAUUCAUUGAGCACCAUCUAUGUCCUGGGCACUGCUAGGGGAUGGUGAUAACAGGGAGAAGACUCUGUCCCUGCCUUCCAAUUGUGUAGAGGAAGACAUCCCCCUACAUGAUGGGUGAGACAUAGCAGAAGUGAGUAGGGGAUGAGGUGGGGGCUCAGAGGAGGGCAUGGUCAGCCUGUCUGGGAGGGAGUUGCAUGUGUGCAUCUGAGGUAGGGACAGGCAUGCAUCUUACAGGAUGAAUAUCGAGCAGAGUUACAGAGAGGGGGAAACUCCUUGAGGUUUCAGGAAUCACCUAAUCCACUGUGACUCACAAAUUCCUGCCUCUUGGCUUUGCCUGCAGCAUAUCUCCUGGAAGUGUGCUGGGGCAAAACUCAUCCCAGACCACCAUCUCCAUCCUCCCCCAAUACACCCUGGCUCUCCCUGGCUACCCUUGAGCACGGUGCACGUGUGCAUGGGUGCAUGCCUGCAUAUAUAGCUAUCCCCCAUGUAUUUCCCAAAGCCCUACAUAAUGCUUCAGUUUGCUAAGGAAAAAAUGUUAAUUACUGCAAAUGUGUUUAAAACUGUAAAAGUACAUUAAACAAACUCUGUAAAGUGUGAAA